GUCCUCGUAGUUUAAUGGAUAGAACAUCGGCCUCCGAAGCCGGGAAUGGCAGUUCGAAUCUGCCCGAGGGCA
rnacentral:tRNA from 1 species